rfam:Salmo salar isolate Sally breed double haploid chromosome ssa04, whole genome shotgun sequence.
UGAAUUCACUACUGUAAGUCGCUCUGGAUAAGAGCGUCUGCUAAAUGACGUAAA